AUUUUGUUUGAAUGUGUGUGGUAAAACCACUAAAUGUUAGGCUCUCAUGAAUUUGUGAGGUAAAUCUAGUACAGGUGAGCGUGUGAAUGUGUGAUGUACAACUAAAAAUGUUAGCAUUUUGUGUGUAUGUGUGAGGUAAAACUAAGAGAGGUUAGCUUUUAGUGUGAAUGUGUGAGGUAUAACUAGUAAAUGUGAGCAUUUUAUAUGAAUGUGUGAGGUAAAACUAAGAGGUUCACUUUAAUUGUGAAUGUGUGAGGUUUAACUAGUAAAUAUGAGCAUUUUAUAUGAAUGAGUGAGGUAAAACUAGUAAAUGUGAGCCUUUUAUAUGAAUGUGUGAGGUAUAACUAGUAAAUGUGAGCCUUUUGUAUGAAUGGGUGAGGUAAAAAUUAUGAAUGUGAGGUAAAACUAGUAAAUGUGAGCCUUUUAUAUGAAUGAGUGAGGUAGAACUAGUAAAUGUGAGCCUUUUGUAUGAAUGUGUGAGGUAGAACUAGUAAAUGUGAGCUUUUUAUUUGAAGUGAAACAGUAAUGAGGUCAAAUCUUAAUCAACUUCAGGGUGGUAGGAAUUUCACAAAGAAGCAUUUUCCAAAACUUCUUUGUUACAAAAACAAAUUUCUUAAAGCUAGCAUGACUGCAAACUGGC
ensembl:lncRNA